UACAGAGGUCCCAAGCGUUGUUCGGAUUCACUGGGCGUAAAGGGUGCGUAGGUGGUUGGGAAAGUUUGAUGUGAAAGCUCGGAGCUUAACUCCGAAAUGGCAUUGAAUACUUCUUAACUUGAGGGUCGGAGGGGAGACUGGAAUUCUCGGUGUAGCAGUGAAAUGACGUAGAUAUCGAGAGGAACACCAGUGGCGAAGGCGAGUCUCUGGACGACUCCUGACACUGAGGCACGAAAGCUAAGGGGAGCAA
rnacentral:rRNA from 1 species